GACGAACGCUGGCGGCGUGCUAACACAUGCAAGUCGAACGGAAAGGCCCUGCUUUUGUGGGGUGCUCGAGUGGCGAACGGGUGAGUAACACGUGAGUAACCUGCCCUUGACUUUGGGAUAACUUCAGGAAACUGGGGCUAAUACCGGAUAGGAGCUCCUGCUGCAUGGUGGGGGUUGGAAAGUUUCGGCGGUUGGGGAUGGACUCGCGGCUUAUCAGCUUGUUGGUGGGGUAGUGGCUUACCAAGGCUUUGACGGGUAGCCGGCCUGAGAGGGAGACCGGCCACAUUGGGACUGAGAUACGGCCCAGACUCCUACGGGAGGCAGCAGUGGGGAAUAUUGCACAAUGGGCGGAAGCCUGAUGCAGCAACGCCGCGUGCGGGAUGACGGCCUUCGGGUUGUAAACCGCUUUCGCCUGUGACGAGGCGUGAGUGACGGUAAUGGGUAAAGAAGCACCGGCUAACUACGUGCCAGCAGCCGCCGUAACAC
rnacentral:rRNA from 1 species